GAGCCUCGGGACUGGCCGCUCUGAUCACGUCCACGCGACCCUUGGCGAAUCGACGUAUGCCGGCGCUCUCGUACGUGGCCACCAGGUGUCCGUGGAGCCUUGAACCAACGAUUUUAGGUCGUCUGCAAAUUUAUUAGGAAACUCGUUAAGAAAACUCACCGAAAGUAUGUCAACUGCAGUGCCAACUGGAUGUACACAUCAGGACUGAUAUUGCAGCUCUUGAUGAACUCCUUGGAAUAAUCCUCGAAGCGCAAGAUGCACAAGUCCAAGUCUUCCACAAGCCUGAAACCAAACACUUCGCCUCAGCAACCCCAUCGCAGCGCACAAUCUCCCUAAUCUAUCGAUGAACGAAUAAACGCAUCAACUAUACACUUACGCAUCGAAAGACGUCAUAGCCUCUCGUAUAUCAUUGCGGCUCUGCUCCGACAAGGACCACUCAAGCUUUUCCGGAGCCGGCAAAUGCGAGGAGACGCUGCUCUCGUCCGGCGGCGGCAUAGCGUCUACCUUAUCCGUCAGCUCUUCGAAGAUCCUGAAUAUCGCCGGUGCCUCUCCAGCCGAGUGCUCGUACGAUAGUCCCCACAGACCGUCCUGUAUACGUAUACGUGUGUAACGUCAGAGUCUAUAAUGUAGAAAGGCGAUCGCCUACCGUCUCUCUCUCUCUCUCUCCCUCUCGUAACCGCCGAGUUCAUUAAGUACCUCAUUACGGGCUAACUCGCGGGGGAUAUGAUCGCCGGGACGUUUCGUAAAUAACGCGCUCGGCUUUGUGUCUAAUGUGACCGUGCAGUCCCUGACACCGAUAACCGCAUCGUCGCGAGUCCGCCGUCUCUGCGAGCACUUGCUUAACUUUACGCGCUAUUCUCGCGCGCAUCGGAGAAAGUAAUAAAACACGGCGAUUUGUACGCGGAGACGCGCGCUCUUUUUGUAUAUGUGCAAAUUGAAUUGAUUUUAAUUAAAAUUUUUUCAGAGAUCACUACGACGACUAAUACACACCUUCCCGAGGAUGAGCUGGACGGUCUUGUCGAACCAGCGGUUGGCCCCGACGUGUCUCGAGCCACCGCCGUGUAUCAUGUGAUGGAGCACGUUGGCGUAGUCUCGCUCUCCCAACCAGCGGUCCUCCUUG